rnacentral:rRNA from 1 species
UUGACCUCAAAUCAGGUAGGACUACCCGCUGAACUUAAGCAUAUCAAUAAGCGGAGGAAAAGAAACUAACAAGGAUUCCCCUAGUAACUGCGAGUGAAGCGGGAAAAGCUCAAAUUUGAAAUCUGGCAGUCUAUUUUUUCUUCUUUGGCUGUCCGAGUUGUAAUCUAGAGAAGUGCUUACCUGCACUG